AUUGAACGCUGGCGGCAUGCCUUACACAUGCAAGUCGAACGGCAGCACGGGAGCAAUCCUGGUGGCGAGUGGCGAACUGGUGAGUAAUACAUCGGAACGUGCCCAAUCGUGGGGGAUAACGCAGCGAAAGCUGUGCUAAUACCGCAUACGAUCUACGGAUGAAAGCAGGGGAUCGCAAGACCUUGCGCGAAUGGAGCGGCCGAUGGCAGAUUAGGUAGUUGGUGAGGUAAAGGCUCACCAAGCCGUCGAUCUGUAGCUGGUCUGAGAGGACGACCAGCCACACUGGGACUGAGACACGGCCCAGACUCCUACGGGAGGCAGCAGUGGGGAAUUUUGGACAAUGGGCGAAAGCCUGAUCCAGCCAUGCCGCGUGCAGGAUGAAGGCCUUCGGGUUGUAAACUGCUUUUGUACGGAACGAAACGGCCUUUUCUAAUAAAGAGGGCUAAUGACGGUACCGUAAGAAUAAGCACCGGCUAACUACGUGCCAGCAGCCGCGGUAAUACGUAGGGUGCAAGCGUUAAUCGGAAUUACUGGGCGUAAAGCGUGCGCAGGCGGUUAUGUAAGACAGUUGUGAAAUCCCCGGGCUCAACCUGGGAACUGCAUCUGUGACUGCAUAGCUAGAGUACGGUAGAGGGGGAUGGAAUUCCGCGUGUAGCAGUGAAAUGCGUAGAUAUGCGGAGGAACACUGAUGGCGAAGGCAAUCCCCUGGACCUGUACUGACGCUCAUGCACGAAAGCGUGGGGAGCAAACAGG
rnacentral:rRNA from 1 species